rnacentral:lncRNA from 1 species
AAAGGCUGAGCUGGGAAGGAGGAAGUGGCCACAGCUAGACAGGUCAGGUGGGCUUCCAUCCGUCUGCUUGCAAGCAAGCUCCCUCCAAGGAGCCCAACAGGGGACAGAGGCACCGACAAACCAAAAGACAGCAACCACAGGAAGCAUGGGCUGUCCUUGGGUUGAAGAUCAAAUGUCAUGAGCUCUGGGGACAGCCUGACAAGAGAAACAGAGCCACAGGACUGAGCCUGGCUCCUCUGGGAGCCUUGACAGGGACCCAAGUGAAGAAGAGCCCACCGCCCUGGCCUGGUGACAGUACCAGCUUGUUCAGGCCCGGCAUCCAGGUCCCAUUGUAAAGUGUCCAGGAGUCUUCUUGAGUCAGUUGUUACAUACGCCUGCUAUUAAAGGUUAAAUGCACAAACUAAACAUUAACGAUGGGUCCCACCCCUUUU